rnacentral:rRNA from 1 species
CCUACGGGUGGCAGCAGUGAGGAAUAUUGGUCAAUGGGCGCAAGCCUGAACCAGCCAUGCCGCGUGAAGGACGACUGCCCUAUGGGUUGUAAACUGCUUUUAUAAAGGAAUAAAGUUAGGCACGUGUGCCUUGUUGAAGGUACUAUAUGAAUAAGGAUCGGCUAACUCCGUGCCAGCAGCCGCGGUAAUACGGAGGAUCCAAGCGUUAUCCGGAUUUAUUGGGUUUAAAGUGUGCGUAGGUGGGUUGUUAAGUCAGUUGUGAAAGCUUGCGGCUCAACUGUAGAAUUGCAGUUGAUACUGUCAGCCUUGAGUGCAGUUGAGGUAGGCGGAAUUCGUGGUGUAGCGGUGAAAUGCAUAGAUAUCACGCAGAACACCGAUUGCGAAGGCAGCUUACUAAACUGCCACUGACGUUGAUGCACGAAAGUGUGGGGAGCAAACAGGAUUAGAUACCCUUGUAGUC